CCACUGGGACGACCCGGUGGCUGCGUGCUGAGUGGGGACGGCCUC
rnacentral:ncRNA from 1 species